AUAUCAAUAAGCGGAGGAAAAGAAACUAACAAGGAUUCCCCUAGUAACUGCGAGUGAAGCGGGAAAAGCUCAAAUUUAAAAUCUGGCGGUCUUUGGCCGUCCGAGUUGUAAUUUAGAGAAGCGUCUUCCGCGCCGGACCGUGCACAAGUCUCCUGGAAUGGAGCGUCAUAGAGGGUGAGAAUCCCGUCUUUGGCACGGAUGCCUGGUGCUCUGUGAUGCGCUCUCGAAGAGUCGAGUUGUUUGGGAAUGCAGCUCAAAAUGGGUGGUGAACUCCAUCUAAAGCUAAAUAUUGGCGAGAGACCGAUAGCGAACAAGUACCGUGAGGGAAAGAUGAAAAGCACUUUGGAAAGAGAGUGAAACAGUACGUGAAAUUGUUGAAAGGGAAACGCUUGAAGUCAGUCGCGUCGACCGAGACUCAGCCUUGCCUCGGCUUGGUGUACUUCUCGGCCCGACGGGUCAGCGUCAAUUUUGCCCCUCGGAUAAUGGCAAGGGAAAGGUGGCACCUUUACGGGUGUGUUAUAGUCUCCUGUCGCAUGCGAGGGGUGGGAUUGAGGAACUCAGCGCGCACCUUUGGUGUCGGGGCUUCGGCCCACGUCACGCGCUUAGGAUGCUGGCGUAAUGGCUUUAAACGACCCGUCUUGAAACACGGACCAAGGAGUCCAACACGCCCGCGAGUGUUCGGGUGGAAAACCCGUGCGCGUAAUUAAAGUGAAAGUUGGGACCUCUGUCGUGGAGGGCACCGACGCCCGGACCAGACCUUCUGUGACGGAUCUGCGGUAGAGCGUGUGUGUUGGGACCCGAAAGAUGGUGAACUAUGCCUGAAUAGGGUGAAGCCAGAGGAAACUCUGGUGGAGGCUCGUAGCGAUUCUGACGUGCAAAUCGAUCGUCAAAUUUGGGUAUAGGGGCGAAAGACUAAUCGAACCAUCUAGUAGCUGG
rnacentral:rRNA from 1 species